CGGAAGGGGCAAGCGUUGUUCGGAAUCAUUGGGCGUAAAGGGCGCGUAGGUGGCUCUGUAUGUCUACCGUGAAAGCAUACAGCUCAACUGUAUUUUGUCGGUAGAAACUGCAGGACUUGAGGCUGGGAGGGGCUGGUGGAAUUCCCUGUGUAGCGGUGAAAUGCGUAGAGAUGGGGGAGAACACUCGUGGCGAAGGCGGCCAGCUAGACCAGUUCUGACACUGAGGCGCGACAGCGUGGGGAGCAAACAGGAUUAGAUACCCUGGUAGUCCACGCUGUAAACGAUGGGCACUAGGUGCCGGCGGUCUUGAUCCCGUCGGUGCCGGCGCUAACGCAGUAAGUGCCCCGCCUGGGGAGUACGGUCGCAAGGCUG
rnacentral:rRNA from 1 species